GAUGAACGCUGGCGGCGUGCUUAACACAUGCAAGUCGAACGGAAAGGCCAGUGCUUGCACUGGUACUCGAGUGGCGAACGGGUGAGUAACACGUGGGUGAUCUGCCCUGUACUUCGGGAUAAGCUUGGGAAACUGGGUCUAAUACCGGAUAGGACAACUUUUUGGAUAUUGUUGUGGAAAGCUUUUGCGGUAUGGGAUGAGCUCGCGGCCUAUCAGCUUGUUGGUGGGGUAAUGGCCUACCAAGGCGUCGACGGGUAGCCGGCCUGAGAGGGUGUACGGCCACAUUGGGAAUGAGAUACGGGCCAGACUCCUAAGGGGGGCAGCAGUGGGGAAUAUUGCACAAUGGGCGCAAGCCUGAUGCAGCGACGCCGCGUGGGGGAUGAAGGCCUUCGGGUUGUAAACUCCUUUCGCUAGGGACGAAGCUUUUUUGUGACGGUACCUGGAGAAGAAGCACCGGCUAACUACGUG
rnacentral:rRNA from 1 species